GGGGAGACUUGUUGCAAUGACUAAUAAUCCUCGAUGUUUCCAGAGUUCAAAGGAACCAUCUUUUUCUCAACAUUCCACAGAACAUCAGACGGGCCUAUUAUACUGAUAGCAUCAUAAUAACAAUUCAAAUGAGCAGGAAAUGGCAAGAACUCAGAAGUCCUGGUAAGAUGUGUGCAUCAGGGGUUGGAGAUAAGCCCUACAAAGACUCAGAGGCCUGCCACAUCAGAAAAGUUUUUAAAGGUCCAGUGGUAUGGGGCAUAUUGAGAUAUUUCUUCCAAGAUAAAGAAGAAAUCGUUAAACCUUGAACAUUCCAUCUUUAAGGUAGCAGCUUCGUAUUUGGUACCUUAAGACCUGGCAGAUUCCAGGAUGCUAGCAAUAUCUGAGAUAGAUGACAAUGUUUUGAGGAGUCUUGGUGAGAUUAAGCAGGGGAGUUACAGAACAAAACCCUAGGAUUGUAGAGUAAGACUGAACUAUCUACAGAAAAAAAAAAAACCUCACCAUUCAAAAGCCAGGUUUAGGCAUGCUAUUGGGCUGUAGUAGGGACUAGUCACCUGAACAUGGGAUAUCAAGGAACAAUGAGACUAGAGCUGUCCAUCAUGGUCUGGGUAUGUUUAGACCUGCCAAGUCAUAAGUUGUGUGGACACUGGAGAAUUCCACCAUUUAAUGAAAACGGCACAUUCAAGAUCAGUCCCUAGCAGGCCUAAAGGACACGAACAGGUGACCCAGAUCUCACAUCACCUACUUAUGUUGCACCAAUGUGUUUCCUUCAGCUCCUGGUUGUAGGGAGUUCUCUAUCACUAGCUGAUGGAGAAGGAAAACCUUGGGCCUACUUCACAGAUAAGUCAACUCCAUAUUCUGGUUGAACCCAAAAAUGUACCACUAUCUCCCAGUAGCCUGAUGCAAGAGCAGCCCUGAAAGUCAGCAGUGAAGGGAAAUCUUCCCAUUGGAGGGGGCCUUGAACACUUGAACUGAUCCCCAACCUGAUGUGGUGGGAGAAGGGCCCUGAGGUUAUGACAGUCACAUACACACAAGCAGUAGAGAAUGGCUUAGCUGGUUAUGGUCAAGAGCCUGGAAAGGGCAAGACUGCAAAAUGAGGAAAAAUGGGGUGGAUCAUUCUCAAUGUCCACUAGAGAGCAUUCCCACGGAGCAGGCAUUGAACAACCAAACAGACAGGAUCCUGAGGAUGUCAGCCCACUGCUGCCCUUAACCAUCCCAGUGAAUGA
rnacentral:lncRNA from 1 species